rnacentral:tRNA from 3 species
GCGCCUGUAGCUCAGUCGGAUAGAGCACUCGCCUUCUAAGCGAGUUGUCGCUGGUUCGAUUCCAGCCAGGCGCAC